rnacentral:rRNA from 1 species
UACGAAGGGGGCUAGCGUUGUUCGGAAUUACUGGGCGUAAAGCGCGCGUAGGCGGUGAUCUUUGUCAGAGGCGAAAGCCCGGGGCUCAACUCCGGAAUUGCCUUUGAAACGGGAUCGCUUGAGUCCGAGAGAGGAUGGCGGAAUUCCUAGUGUAGAGGUGAAAUUCGUAGAUAUUAGGAAGAACACCGGUGGCGAAGGCGGCCAUCUGGCUCGGUACUGACGCUCAGGCGCGAAAGCGUGGGGAGCAAACAGG